GGGGGUUUAGCUCAGCGGUAGAGCGCUUGCCUAGCAAGCACAAGGCCCUGGGUUUGAUCCUCAGCUCCA
rnacentral:tRNA from 1 species